UCAGCGGUUGGGUUAGAUUGCUAUGUUUGAGGCCACUGUCACAUCUGUUGUGUUUGUAUCAUUGUUAUCUCGUACAAAUCCCAACAUCCAUGGAAUUGAUAGUAGCAGCAGGAAAUAAUACAGAGGUCGUCUACUACUUUGCUGCCAUUGGCAUACUUAGAGAAAAACAAGGAUAUCGUAGUUCUCCACGUGAAGACCAGAGUCAGAUAAGAAGAAAAAAAGGAAGAAGCCACGAUCCGUAAAUGGAUCAACCACGGACUCAACGUUGCCGCGUCCCGCUCGCCUCUCCCAUGCUCGUUGUUCCCACGCUGGCUCCACCUCGCCUGCCUUCGCUGCAGCGCGUCCAAGACACCUCCCACUCCAUGCUAGCGCUGCUCAUGGCCGAUCCGCGUGCCCUGCCUUCGACCUGAAGGCUCCACCCUGCCCCUCGCCGCGCCUCUGCGCGUCUGCUCCAUGUCAGCUCCAUCUUGAUCCGUUGUCGCGCCUUGAGCUGCCAUUGCAUCGGCACCACUUCACCUCGCGGCACCCCGGCCGCCGCCUCCCUUCAAGCCGACUUCCGGCGUCGCCCCUUGACCGUCGCGUUCCAGAACCGCCCCAUCGUGUUGCUUGGCCCUGCAUCACCCGAGCCGUCGUGGUUCCCACCUUCGCGCGUCAUUGCGGCAGGCCGUUCGAGCCGCGUUCGCCAGGCGGCCCCUGCCUCCGCUCGACCAGCUCCACUCCGGGUUUGCUCUGGAUCCAGCUUGCCCCAUUCCCCUGUCGGUUGUCCCUGUAUGACAAUAAAGGGAAAACAGCAGAUGGGGCUAAGACAAAGGAGGAUUUGUAGGAGGAAGAAGGCCAUGUGGUUGCUAAGGCUACACCAUCGUCCUCGUCCAUCCGGAAAACCAGGUGUUAUCCACCCUAUUUGUUUUAUCAAUACACUCUAAAUUAUUUUUUGAGGACAAAACUUUGUUCGCGAUAUUUUUCUGUG
rnacentral:lncRNA from 1 species